UACGUAGGCAGCAAGCGUUGUUCGGAGUUACUGGGCGUAAAGGGCGCGUAGGCGGCUUGACAAGUCACUUGUGAAAUCUCCGGGCUUAACUCGGAACGGCCAAGUGAAACUGUCAUGCUAGAGUGCAGAAGGGGCAAUCGGAAUUCUUGGUGUAGCGGUGAAAUGCGUAGAUAUCAAGAGGAACACCUGUGGCGAAGGCGGCCGUCUGGGCCGACCCUGACGCUGAGGCGCGAAGGCGUGGGGAGCGAACGGG
rnacentral:rRNA from 1 species